rnacentral:rRNA from 1 species
UACGUAGGUGGCAAGCGUUGUCCGGAUUUACUGGGCGUAAAGGGCGUGCAGGCGGUCUGUUAAGUGCAGGGUGAAAGCUCCCGGCUCAACUGGGAGAGGUCCUUGCAUACUGGCGGACUUGAGGGGGGUAGAGGAAAGUGGAAUUCCAAGUGUAGCGGUGAAAUGCGUAGAGAUUUGGAGGAACACCAGUGGCGAAGGCGACUUUCUGGUCUGUAACUGACGCUGAGGCGCGAAAGCGUGGGGAGCAAACAGG